CGCGGGCGGCGGACGGGGCGGCGCCCCCGCGGCGUGCAGACGGCCUGCUGGGGACCCCCAGUGGUCACCGGGAGUCACGGCUUCCCCGCGGCAGGAAAGCUCGCGGCCUCGGGGGACGUACGGGCCUCCGCUGUGGUGGCUCUUUCUCGGGGUCACCAGGGCUCUUUUCUCCGGAGUCAGAGGAGAGAGAGGCAGAGACACAGGCAGAGGGAGAAGCAAGGCUCCAUGCAGGGAGCCCGACGUGGGACUCGAUCCCAAGACUCCAGGGCCAUGCCCUGGGCCGAAGGCAGGCACCAAAGCGCUGAGCCAUCCAGGGAUCCCCAAGGACUUUUCAAUUGUAAUGAAGUUAAGGAUCGUGUGAUGAGACCAUCCUGGAUUACCUGGGUGGGCCCUAAAUCCAAUGCCGGUGUCCACAGAGGAAAGAGAGAGAGGUAGAGGAGAAGGUCCUAUGAACAGUGAGGCAGAGAUUGGAGUUACUUGGUCACAAGCCAGGGAAUGCCUGGAGCCACCAGAAGCUAGAAAAGGCAAGGAAAGACGUCUCCUCACAAACCCUUCAGAGGCAGCGUGACCUACCAGCACCUUGAUUUCAAACUUCUGGCCUCCGGAACAGUGAAAGAAUAGAGUGCUGUUGUUUUACGCCAACAGCUUAUGGGAAUUUUCUAAAACAUUUACUUAUUUGAGAGAGAGAGCUCAUGCACGCAAGCAGGGGAGGAGUGGAGGGAGGGAGAGACAGUUCAAGUGGACUCCCCACUGAGCACAGAGGCCAUGGGAGACUCGAUCUCACCACCCUGAGAUCACGACCUGAGCCGAAAUCAAGAGUCAAAUGCUCAACCAACUGAGUCGCCCAGGCACCCCAGUUUAUGGUAGUUUUCAAAGGCAAUCUCAGGAAAGUAAUACAUUACAUAUAUAUUUACUGAGCACAUUCACUGUGCAAAACACCAUGCUAGGUACUGGGGAUAGAGCAGUAAACAAAGACUCUCAUAGAGCUUAUCUUCCAAGGAAGAAACAGAUUAACACCCUGGUGAUUAAACCAACAAGAAACCAUCUGAGAAUGAAAAGUCCUACAAAUAAAUAUUUCAUAGUGAUUUGGUAACGAGUGAAUGAGGAAUGCUACUCCAGACGGGGUAAUUGGGAAAGACCUCGUUGAGGAGGUAACAUUUUAGCUGAUAUCAUUCAGAAAUGGCUGUUAAAAAUUGGGAAGUAUCGGAGUGGGGCUGGACUUUUUCCAAAGAAAGUCAGGAGAGAGCCAGAAAAAAAUGCUAUUUUGUAAAACUAUUACUGUGCUCCCUUUAAGAACCCCAAAAUUGCUUUUUUUAAACUGUGUUUCUUGGAGCCUUAAGGUGACCUGCUAGAACCCCUCUGGGAGCCACAACUGGAGGGAGAUCUGGAGAGGAUUCAGUUAGGCCUCUAUAUUUCCGAUGUCUCUACUAAUCAGAAAAGAGGAGGACCUGCCAGCUUCAUGUACAUACAGCUCCCAAGCAAGCUUUUAUUUUUAUUUUUAUUUUUAUUUUUUUUUAAGAUUUUAUUUAUUUACUCAUGAGACACAGCGAGAGAGAGAGGCAGAGACACAGGCAGAGGGAGAAGCAGACCCCAUGCAGGGAGCCCGACGCAGGACUCGAUCCUGGGACUCGAUCCUGGGACUCGAUCCUGGGACUCCAGGAUCACACCCUGAGCCGAAGGCAGGCGCUAAACCUCUGAGCCACCAAGGAUCCCCCCAAGCAAGCUUUUACUGAAGAAAGUAUUCCACGGCUUAGAGAAAAUUUGAAAACACUGUCUCAAGUUGGUGUAGCCUAGGAAACAUGAAAUUAUGCUCUGUAGAAUGUGUUCUCUCCAGGGCUUUCUGCUCCUCAAGGUACAGCCAGUAGUUCACCAGGAUCUGCAUAGACUGAGGGAAGGACAUAGAACUUUUCUCCUUCCUCCCGGAUUCUGUCUUCCCUUUGACUGACAUCCACUCCUCCAAAAUAUCUAAUUUCUCCUCAGGAAAGAAGUCUUUGCUUCAGUAAAACUUACUUAACUAGAAGACAUACUUGGAUUAUGUUAUAUUCUUACUUUUUAACCUUGACCUACAAUAGUUCAGUUUUCACACUUGGCCUACCUAAAUGUUUUCUCAGGAUCCUACCCUGGUGAGACCCGUGGAUUGCUUCACAGCAGUGCUAAGUGAGGCCAGGGACCAAGCAGGACAUCCCGUUGGUGGCAGGCUCCUCCCCCCGUAGGCAGACACAAAAAAAUAAGAAGCUACAGGGUAAAGUUGAAGACUUCUGUGGAUUUGACCAGGCCACUUCCAGGCUUCUUCGGCCCCAUAUUUACCUGUUAGAAUUAGACCAUCUGUAAGUAACAGAAAGAAACUGAGAACCAGUGGCUUCAACAAGAGAUGAUAGAGAGGAUAUUUUUAUUUCUCUCUCCUAAGACGUCCAGGUAGUCGUCAGGCCAAUCCAGCGUGACUCUGGACACUGAGGGACCGGGUUGCUUCUGUCUUGCAGCCAUGCAGGGGGACUUCUAUCCCAGGGUCACCGCAAGUUUCAAAGUGGCUGCUCUCCAAAGUUCUUUUUGAAGCCAUGCUUCCAAAUGACUGCUCUCUCCAAAGGAUAGACAAAGUGGGGAGUGGGGUGGGACAGGGGGAGGACGUGUCUUUUCACUUUAAAGACACUUCCCGGAAGUUGCAAUUAGUACUUCUGCUUAAAUUUCAUUGGACAAAACUUAGCCACAAAAGAGCAGAGAAAUGUAGUCCUUUUUCCCAGGUAGCCAUGUGCCAACUUAAAAUGAGGGCCUUUAUUACUUACUGCCUUCCUCCUAGCUCUGCAACCUCCCUUGCCCUGUGCUCAGUGCUCAUUCUGACGCCCUGAGCUCCGCUGCAUGGUCCUGCUUCCACUGCCUCGAGCAGAUAGAUCAGCUCCUUCCGAUUGAAAGCAGAAAGUCUUUUGCAUGUUCUCUUCCUCUCUGGGUCACUCUUCCCCAGCCCCACAGCCCACCCUCCUUAUCUAUUUAAUUCCUGUUUAUCCUCCAGGAAUUAACCCGAUCAACACUGCCAGUCCCAAACAGGGUCAAGUGUGCCUCUACCUGUGUCUCAGAGGAGCAUAUGUUUCUCAUCUGUAGCACUGACCACAGUUACAUUUUGACAUUUCCUUGUUUGGUUAUUUGAUUCCUGAUUAUCUCUUCCUUUAAACAGUAAGUCAGCUUGUCUAUCGUUUACAGCUGUAUCCCCGGUAGCCCCUGUAUCCCUUGCUUAGUAUCUGUAUUUAGAAGAUGCCCAAUAAACAUGAGUUAUACCAUUUAAAUGUUGUGCUUCAUGAACAUUGUACAAAUUUCUUUGAAAAAAAUCUACUUAUGAUAAAUACAACAUAUAUGUCUCAUUAUAAACUUUUCCUUUCAUCUGCCAAAUAAUAAAAUCUAAAAUUUUCCUUCUU